GGAAGGUGUUGUUUUGUGGGUUUUUUUUUUUUUUCUUUCUUUUUCUUCCCCCUGGUGAUCCUUCCUCUGUGGAGUUUUUUCUGCAAACCUGGAUCUUCAGGUUCAGGAAAGGCCAUGGAAAGGGCCAUCGCAGAUCCAAGGUUGCAGAGAUUUUGUGUGUGUUGCUGCUGGACACCUGAAGGAAAUGGCAGAGGGAAAGGACUUUUCCAGGGGAUUAGUUGCUCUGUGUCCCAGCUGAAGGAAAAGAGGGAAGGAAGUCACCGCACACUCCUGUUGCUUGGGGAGACACUUGGCCAGUCCAUCACCUCUGGAUUUCCACUGACCUCUUCUCCAGAAGGCGUAAAAAUAACAAUAUUGUUCUUUUGAGGGAGAAAUACGAUAGAAGACUGAAAUAACCUUGUGGCACUUAACUGAAUAUUGCCCUGAUAGAAGCUAUGUGCUGGAUGGGACAAAUUUCUAGAGACGAGGCAAAGAAGAGAAACAAAUACUGAGAAGUAAAGGCUCACACUCCUGACUGCUAAGUUCAGCAGCCUUCUUUAAACAUGCUCAACUCUCUCUGUGGGUCACAUAAAGAAGAGAUAGUAAUCCCAAUGAAACAGGAGUUGUGCCCUGACUACAAUGUUAUCAGUUUAAUCUGAUCAAUGCAUGCAGACUUUUACAAAGGAAAAAAUCAGAAGUAAAAUUCAAAAUGUAAAGAUGGACACAAUUUCUGUUCAUAUUUCCAUAAUAAACAGAAAAUAAAGGAAUCUAAUUGUGGCUUAUGUAGUCCAGUCAACUGAGAAAAUUUUAUUUAGCAUUCUUCAUGUUUAUACCAUAGAUUUAAGAUGAAAUGCCACUUGCUCUGCUGUGUUUAAGCAUCCUAUAACUAGACUUGGUUUUUGAAAAAGGACAUGCCUUCCAUUGCCUGUAAAAAGCAUUGCUUCUUCUGAAGGACAGAUGGAGGAAACCUAAAUAGCGGAUAAGUGCCAGAGGUUCCAACAUCUGCAGUUAGUGGAAGCCCAGGACAGUGCAUUUUAAGCCAUGCAUUUUAAAUGAAAUUGUGAUUGGAAUGAGAUACAUGUUGGCAGGAGCUCGUUCCCAAGAAAGAAGAAUCCUACAGUGGUAAGAAAAAAAAAUGUUUGCAGUGGUUCUCUUUGGCUUCAGAUUUGGAGAAAUAUCUAAAACAUGCCAGUCAAUUUCUGUUGUCAUAUGGCAAGAAAAUGUGCACUUGAAUGAAAAUGGCCUACAUCCAGGUGGGCCCCAGUAGGCAGUGAUUUAUAGUCUGCAUUGUACCUGCAUGUGAGCUGGAUAUUUUAGUAGAAGAAGUCGAGUCAUGCCUUUGAAGGCAGGAUUUCCCAGGCACCCAGGAAACUGGUUUUGCUGGUUUCUGGGGGCUCUCACCUCCUUCCUCCACCACACCCAUUCCAGGCUCUGUGCAUCUCUGAAACGCAAACAGCAGGUGAGAUUUUAUCUGCUGAAAUGUUUUCAAAACCACUGGAUUUUGCUCUUUCAAGUUGCUGGUCUCUAUUUUACCAGGAGGAAGAAUUAUUUGGAUAACUGUGUCUGUGUGCAAAAAUGUUCACAUCCUCAGAAUGAUCUCACCCUUUUUAGCUUAUGAUUUUUCCUCUGAAAAUAUGGGUAAUAAUAUUCAUCUCCAAUUUAAAAAGGCAGCAUUGAAUCAGGAGAAGAAGCAGUGCAUUGCUGAAGGAUUUGGUCACAGCCUGCCAAAUUCUGUUACAAGUUCACUCAAAAUCCAUUUUCAUACAGGCUGCUCUCCUGAUCAGUCUUCCUGAUUCAUUGUAUGGACUGUCACUGCUCAUCAACUGCAAAAAUAUCCUGAGUAAAAUUCAAUAUGAUCGGUCAGGCAUGUCCAACCCGCAGCCUGUGGCCACAUGCAGCCGGGCACAGCUUGCAGUGCUGCUUGCUUUUCUGACCCCGCGUUGUUGUGGUAGUGGCUCUCCACUGCCAAGUGGCCCAAUGCCACUUCAGAACACAGGGAAGGCAUAGUACAGUGCAGACUCUUCUGACACUUGUAGAACUCGCUCAGAUGCAUUGAAACCUGCAUGUAUUACACAUGGCAUGUACUCGUGAGGUUCAUUGAGUAAAAUGCAGUGAUUGAGGAUAUUAAUAUUUCAACUUGCCUAAUGGCAUCGCAAAUGAGAAAAGAACAACAACAAAAAAAAUCAUGGAUGAAGGAAAAGAGUGUUCAAGGAAAAAUGGACAGAUAAGUACUUCUUUAUCAAGACAAAUAAUAUGCACAGUGCUUAAUUUGCAAGGAAAUCAUGUCAGGUUUCAAAGAUUACAGUUUGGAAUGAUAUUAUACGCAAAAACAUGCUGCGAAAUUCAGUGCAUGUCAAGGAAUGCUUAGUAAAAACAGCAGAACUGAAAAAAAGUCUGUCAUCUCAACAAAAUCUUUUCCAGAAAGUUAGAACUCAGACUCUGUUGUAGAAGUUGCUACAUGGUAGCAAAUUUGAUUACAAAAUAUCAAAAUUGUUUACCAAUGAUUUCAUUAAGCAAUGUAUGGAAAUGUGGCAGACAUAAUGUGUCCUAUUUUAAAAAAAUUGUUUUUUUUUACAAUCAGUUUGUCUCUCCAGACUGUAGCCAGGUGAAUUGAUGAAGGAAGAAUAUCUAUUGAAAGACAUUUGGAGAGUGAAGCUGCCAAUUUCACAUUUUUUGCUCUGGUGAUAGAUGAAGGUACAGAUGCUACAGAUACGGCUCAACUUGACAUUUCCAUUAGAGGUAUUGAUAAUGAAUAUAAUGACACUGAAGAAAUUGCUUUUUUGGUGCAAUUAAAAGACAAAAUAGAUUUUUAUGAAGUGAUAAAAAAAAUACAUUAAAGGAAUUUUCUUCCACCUUUGUCAACAUAUGUGGUAUAGUUACUGGUGGCACCCCCCGUGAUGGUUGAUAAAAAAGAGGGACUUACAAAAUUAACAGAAGACAGUGCAAUUAUCACUGACAACUCAUGUUUGAUUAAACAUCACUGCAUCAUACAUCAAGAAAAUUUAUGUGUAGAAGCAUUAAAUAUGGAUAAUGUCGUGCAAAUAUUCAUCAAAGCUGUGAAUUUCAUAAAAUGCAAUGGAUUGAAUCAUCACCACUUCCAAGAGUUCCUUAGAAAUAUGGAUGUUAAUUAUGGGAACAUCAUUAACUUUUCUGAAGGAAAAGUGGCUAAGUCAGGGUAAAAUGCUGAAGACUUCAUUAUAUACAAAGUGAAAUCAAAUCAUGUAUGGAAUGAAAAGGAAAAUUUGUGCCAGAACAUGAAGUUUAGAAAUGGCUCACACAUACAGCAUUUUUCGUAGACUUGACCGCUGAUUGCAUGAGUUAAAUAAGUGCCUUCAUGGUGAAAAUCAACUUAUCUGUGCUGUGUUUCAAACUAUAACAGCAUUUGGAAUGAAACCUAAAUUACAGCAAGCUCAAGUUAUGGCAAAUAAUUUCAUACAUUUUGAUGCUUUGGCUAAACACAGUCCUGCGAACAGCAAAAAAUACACUGCCAUGUUUUCUAUUUUGAUAAAGGAAUUUGAGAAUAAGUUUUAAGAUUUCAAAAAUAUAACUUUCAGUCGACUUAAAUAAAUUACAUGUGAAUUUUCAAAUGGAAUGUAUUCAGUUGCAAUCAGAUGUGCAACUCAAAAAAUUGGUCGUGUCUCCUUAUUAGACUUUCAUAAGACCACUCUUAACAGAGAAAAAUAUCCCUCGCUUCACAGCCAUGCCUUAUUCUUGUAAUCACUUUUUGGCAGUACGUAUAUUUGUGAGCAAUUAUUGUCAAAGGUGAAGCCCAGGAAGAGUAACAUUUCAUUAAAAAAUCUCUGACAACCAUCUUGACAACUCACUAAGAACUUUAGCUACUUGAACUGAACCAGACAUUGAUACAUUAGUAUCCCAAAAGCAGAGUGAAAUAUCCCACUACUUUUCUGUUUUUGUUACUCUGAUUUUUGUUUUAAUCAAAAAUACAUGAAAUACAUGUCUCUUAUGUAAUUAGGCUAUAUAAUAUAUCUUAUACAUGGUCCAAGACAAGUCCUGUUUGCUCAGUGCAGCCCAGGCAGGCCAAAAAGUUGGACAUGCAUAUGAUAGGCUAUAAACUGCUUUAAGAUUAUUUACUAUAUCAUCAAGCAGUAACUGAUAAAAUCUGUGCGUUUCUUAAACUGUUGGGAAACGCUGAAUUACAAUAAAGACAACAUCAGGACAGUGACAUGAAUUAUUUGAUACACCAGCUAUAAGCACAAAAAACAGACGUCUUAAAGGACAUAGUGCAUCCUCACAGAAGGUGGGGCAAUGGCAUGAGAAGUAACGAGUCUGAAAAAAUUAAGUGUUGUGUGGAAUAAUGAACUGUACAGAUCUCCACACUACGAUGCAGUAGCUGAAAUGAAACAAGAAGUAACGUAAGUUUAUCUUACCAGUGGAAUUGGCCCUGACGUGAUCACUGGAAGAAUGUUGUCUCCCAGCAUGUUGGCCAUUCAAAAUAUGCUCUUGAGAAAGUUCUUAAACAGCUGCUUUGGAACAGAUGCAGAAUGGUUAAAGAAGGAUCGAUGCAAAGAGCCCACUGAUGUAGAGAUAUAGGAGUGAUUUGAUUGCUGUCUGUGAAGAACAUACAGCAGAAGUUAGCUCUGAUACCUAAUAAGCAAAAUAUAAAAUGAUCUGAUGCUGGAAGUCACAGCUAGAAAUAAAAUGUGAAUGUCUUGGGAUAAGAAAAAUCAACUAAGCAAGAAGUGUAAGGGAUGUAUCACUGGAAAUCUUCAAAGCAAGAUCACUCUUGGAUUUGAAGUAGGAAUUAAUUGUAACACUUGUAGCCUUUUGUGGUACAGGGAAUCAUUAGUGCAAUAUUUUGUGAUACAGUACUUCCUUGUGUGCUUAAAAUCUGUGUUUGUAAAUGGAUCUACUUACAACAUGAUAAGCAUCUUAAUUAGCCUGAUAAAUACAGUAACAAUUAUUCACUGAAGUAAAAAAGUAAGAAGUCUCUUUUUUCACAUUUACCAUUAACCCUCCGUGAGCUUUAGCAUAUUGUUUGAAUAUUGUUUGAACACAUUUAAAAAAAUCAUAUUAGUAAACUUUCACAUUUUUCAUCAAUCUCUGUGAAUAUUAUUGCAAUUAAGAGAAUUUAUAUGAGGAAAGAUUCCUAUGUAAGACUUCUGUGUCUUGCAGUGAAAUACUACCCCAUAAAUGCACUUACAUAAUAUACCAGUGACACUAACCUGUGUUUACUCAAGACUUAAAUGAUUAAGGAAUAGCUUAGAGAACAAGGUUAUGGUCACAAUAUGAGAAGCCAAACAGAACAUAAAUUCAACCUGAAUUUGUUCCAUAGAGAUGAUGGAGAAGACUAUAUCGUAAAGGAAAUCUAUGGCAAGGUCUGAUUAAUAUUUUUGAUGAAGGGUUUUGUUGAAAAAUGAGACUUCGCUGAAAUGAGAUUCUCUGUAAGAUCUUUUAUAUUUGUUAUGAACAUGGCACGUAGGCAGGCAGCUCUUGCAAAAGCUGGAGAUUUGGCAACCUUGGAAACCUUGAUUGCAGUUUAUUAUAUCUAUGAAAGAAGCCAGAAAUUUGAUAAAAGAUGUCUCUUUUCAGCCAACUACAAAUCCAUGCCUUAUCGGCAGAAUAAAUACGCUAAUGUCAAGAUAUUUUCUAUCUCCCUUUCUUUUUGCAUUCUAACCAAUGCAAAAAAGGAGAAGAAAAAUCACUCAGAUAACUCUGACAAGUCUUUUGGUUUGAAUGCAACACUGUAUAAAGUCUUGGAAAAUGUUGGAAGGUAAAAGACCUGAAGCAAAAUGAAAAAUGAGAUAAUUUGGGUUUUAUCAAAUGUAGUGUCAGACUAAAAUCUUUUUGCAUUAGAUAUUUGGCCUUUUAGACAGGGACAAUGCAAUAGGCUGAAUUUUCACAUGUGAGAGCAGCACUUGUAGGGUGAUUUCAAAUUAUUACUGAAGUACAAAUGAUGUGGGUGACCACAAGAACUGAUUAGGCUGGUAAGGCACUGACUGGCAUGAGACUGCAAUGUAUUAAAGGAGAAGUUCUCAAAUCCUGUUCUCCAAGAAGCAAACAUGAUGGGUAUGCAAAUGUUGCAUUGUACAAAGCACUGCGAGCUUCUUCAUAGUGUUGGUCUUCACGUGCAUUCCUGAAGAGAAAAUGGAAAAUGGAA